UACGGGGGGGACUAGCGUUGUUCGGAUUUACUGGGCGUAAAGGGCGCGUAGGCGGACUUUCAAGUCGGAUGUGAAAUCUGGUGGCUUAACUGCCAGUCUGCACUCGAUACUGUUAGUCUUGAGUACAGGAGGGGAGAGUGGAAUUCCAGGUGUAGCGGUGGAAUGCGUAGAUAUCUGGAAGAACACCCGUAGCGAAGGCGACUCUCUGGACUGAUACUGACGCUAAAGCGCGAAGGCUAGGGUAGCAAACAGGAUUAGAUACCCCCGUA
rnacentral:rRNA from 1 species